UAGCCUACGGGAGGCAGCAGUGGGGAAUAUUGCACAAUGGGGGAAACCCUGAUGCAGCGACGCCGCGUGAGUGAAGAAGUAUUUCGGUAUGUAAAGCUCUCUCAGCAGGGAAGAUAAUGACGGUACCUGACUAAGAAGCCCCGGCUAACUACGUGCCAGCAGCCGCGGUAAUACGUAGGGGGCAAGCGUUAUCCGGAUUUACUGGGCGUAAAGGGAGCGUAGGUGGCAGGGCAAGUCAGAUGUGAAAACCCGGGGCUCAACUCCGGGAGUGCAUGGGAAACUGUUUAUCUAGAGGGUCGGAGAGG
rnacentral:rRNA from 1 species